AAGAAUAAACUCUAAAAAUUAUCAUGCAGAAUUUGAGCAGUUUCACUCCUCAGUUAAGCAGUUAUCCUACGUGCGACAAAUGCCACUCAUAAUCGUCAACAUUUCCGAGAGCUGCUUCCUAAUUUUACACAUCGCUCAUCAAGAUGGAGCCAGAGUUAUUAAUGGCCACCAGCGGUCAAAUAACGAUAACAUUUUCGAGACGAAUACAAUCCAACAGGAACCCGAAACACUAAUCAAGGGACAAAAUGAAGAACUCCGAUCAGCAAAAUAGACGAAGAAGAAAACAACACUUGAAUAAUUCCGGCUGCCAGAAAAUGUAGUUUGGAUACUCCGCAGAAAAAAUCCGUCAUAGUAGUAGAAAAGUCUCGCGGACGAAUAUUUGAUGAAAGACCCCAUUUGGUUACACACAGGAACAAAACCAUUAAAACAUCAAAAACGUAAAAAAAUUAGGUCGAAAUACGAACUCUAAUUGCAAGUUGGAACUCAUACGAAUUGAUGAAAACGAGGUCUAUUCAAUAAUUUAUUCAGCUGGAUAAUCCCAUUGCAGAUUCCUAUCCUUGUCCAUAUUGUCCGAAAGCACUUAAUCGUCUUACAACGCUCGAAGAACACAUUCGAACUCAUAAGGAUAGCCGCGCGAGAUAGCUGGUGGAUGAUAAUCCAGACGACCGGAGUUCGAACCCACAUCGCAGCAGUUUUCACCAAAUAUCAAUCUGUGCCAUUUUAAACAUUCAUAUUCUACUCCCAACACAAGUCAAUCAAACAAUUACUAUUUCUACAAACAUAAAUACUCAUAUAUAAAAAUGGCGAUUCAUGAGGCUAUAAUAAACAUU